UACAGAGGCCCCAAGCGUUACUGAGAAUCACUGGGUUUAAAGGGUGCGUAGGUGGCGCGUUAAGUCCGUUGUGAAAUCCCUGGGCUCAACCCAGGAAUUGCUUCGGAUACUGGCGUGCUUGAGGCUAGUAGGGGUCACUGGAACUGACGGUGGAGCGGUGAAAUGCGUAGAUAUCGUCAGGAACGCCGAUGGUGAAGACAGGUGACUGGGCUAAUUCUGACACUGAGGCACGAAAGCGUGGGGAGCGAACGGG
rnacentral:rRNA from 1 species